rnacentral:rRNA from 1 species
UACGUAGGGGGCUAGCGUUGUCCGGAAUCAUUGGGCGUAAAGCGCGGGCAGGCGGCCCGGUAAGUCGGCCGUGAAAGCGCCGGGCUCAACUCGGCGAGGACGGGCGAGACUGCAGGGCUGGAGCAAGGCAGAGGGCGGUGGAAUUCCGGGUGUAGUGGUGGAAUGCGUAGAGCUCCGGAGGAACACCAGUGGCGAAGGCGGCCGCCUGGGCCUUUGCUGACGCUGAGCCGCGAAAGCGUGGGGAGCGAGCCGG